rnacentral:rRNA from 1 species
UACGUAGGGUGCGAGCGUUAAUCGGAAUUACUGGGCGUAAAGCGUGCGCAGGCGGUUCGUUGUGUCGGCGGUGAAAGCCCCGGGCUUAACCUGGGAAUGGCCGUUGAAACUGGCGAACUGGAGUGUGGCAGAGGGGGUGGAAUUCCGCGUGUAGCAGUGAAAUGCGUAGAGAUGCGGAGGAACACCGAUGGCGAAGGCAGCCCCCUGGGCUAACACUGACGCUCAGGCACGAAAGCGUGGGAGCAAACAGG